CCCCGCCCUUCGGCCACCGCAGCAGAGGCCACGCGUGACAUUUAGGACCACGCGUGACCACUGCGAUCAAACGACGGCUACGGUCUGUGUUCGUAGGGAAGUGAAGUCAGACUUCUGCUGGAUGUCGCGUGUCCCCUUCCUCCCGCGCAGACAGAGCUCCAGAGCACCACCCCACUGUGCCUCAUUCAGGAAGUGCUGUGAUCAAGAAACCACCACUGCUGCUGGUGCCAGGACUGUGAUUCCCAUCAACAGCACUGAUGGCCUGCACCUCACCUCUGACACCCAUGGGACUCUUGUAUGUGGACACUAGAAAGUCUGCUAAUUCUGGAACAAAAACCUGAAAUGUCUCCAUGAGAUGGACUGCUGAAAGAAAUAGAAAACCACAGAGGUGAGGCCUCCACCUUACUUCCAAAUGCUGUAUUGCACAUGGAAUGCAUUUGAUUUCUCAGAUCAGUCACUUUCAGAAUCCAAGCUGCAAAGGAGUUUUGGAAACACAGACCAGAGUUUUCCAGCCUCUGUCAGACAAGAAGGCUAAAAAAGAUUGGAAUGGAUGAUGGGCAUUCAUAUUCACAUAAAUUCGACUUCUAUAUA
rnacentral:antisense_RNA from 1 species